UACGUAGGUGACCAGCGUUGUCCGGAUUUACUGGGCGUAAAGAGCGCGCAGGCGGUCGUUCAAGUCGAGUGUGAAAGCCCCCGGCUCAACUGGGGAGGGUCACUCGAUACUGAUCGACUUGAAGGCAGGAGAGGGAAGCGGAAUUCCCGGUGUAGUGGUGAAAUGCGUAGAUAUUGGGAAGAACACCAGCGGCGAAAGCGCGCUACUGGGCCAUUACUGACACUCAUGGACGAAAGCUAGGGGAGCGAAAGGG
rnacentral:rRNA from 1 species